rnacentral:lncRNA from 1 species
UGUGGAGGAGGGCGCGAUUCAUUCCUGAAGGCAAUCCAUCGCUAACUAUUUAAAGGGGGCUGCUUCAGAGAUUUGAUUCAUUCAGAAAAUUGCUCUUAUCUCUUCUUUCUUACACACUCUCCCUAUUGUCCAAUUAUUUUCUUUCUUAUUUUGUUAGGAUAAGUCCAAAAAUAGUAAGGACAAGUCCGAUUUUAGGACAAGAGUCUAAGAGGUGAAUUAAGGAAGACAAGGAGAGAAGAAAGAUAGGGAUAGGAAGGCUAGG